UGGGCGUAAGGGCUCGCAGGCGGUUUCUUAAGUCUGAUGUGAAAGCCCCCGGCUCAACCGGGGAGGGUCAUUGGAAACUGGGAAACUUGAGUGCAGAAGAGGAGAGUGGAAUUCCACGUGUAGCGGUGAAAUGCGUAGAGAUGUGGAGGAACACCAGUGGCGAAGGCGACUCUCUGGUCUGUAACUGACGCUGAGGAGCGAAAGCGUGGGGAGCGAACAGGAUUAGAUACCCUGGUAGUCCACGCCGUAAACGAUGAGUGCUAAGUGUUAGGGGGUUUCCGCCCCUUAGUGCUGCAGCUAACGCAUUAAGCACUCCGCCUGGGGAGUACGGUCGCAAGACUGAAACUCAAAGGAAUUGACGGGGGCCCGCACAAGCGGUGGAGCAUGUGGUUUAAUUCGAAGCAACGCGAAGAACCUUACCAGGUCUUGACAUCCUCUGACAACCCUAGAGAUAGGGCUUUCCCUUCGGGGACAGAGUGACAGGUGGUGCAUGGUUGUCGUCAGCUCGUGUCGUGAGAUGUUGGGUUAAGUCCCGCAACGAGCGCAACCCUUGAUCUUAGUUGCCAGCAUUCAGUUGGGCACUCUAAGGUGACUGCCGGUGACAAACCGG
rnacentral:rRNA from 1 species